GGUGCUAUAGUGUAGUGGUCAUCACUCGGGAUUUUGAUGCAUGCCAUCUGGGAGUGCGCCCAUGUAAAUCUUCCCGAAACCCAGGUUCGAACCCUGGUAGCACCU